rnacentral:rRNA from 1 species
UACGAAGGGGGCUAGCGUUGCUCGGAAUCACUGGGCGUAAAGGGUGCGUAGGCGGGGCUUUAAGUCCGGGGUGAAAUCCUGGAGCUCAACUCCAGAACUGCCUUUGAUACUGAGGAUCUUGAGUACGGGAGAGGUGAGUGGAACUGCGAGUGUAGAGGUGAAAUUCGUAGAUAUUCGCAAGAACACCAGUGGCGAAGGCGGCUCACUGGCCCGAUACUGACGCUGAGGCACGAAAGCGUGGGGAGCAAACAGG